CUCGGUCGCUCGGUCGACUCGCCUCCAGCCGCCGGAGUCCGAUCGACGAUCCGAACACACCAUCGGACUCACAACGACGCGCUGAUGACGAUCCCCGCUUUCGAUUUUCUGAUCUGACACCCAAUCAUUCGGAGAAAUUUGCGGACGAUCUCGACCGUCGAUUUGCAAACGAAGCCCGAUCGCCACGAAACUGGUGCCAUCGCGAAGCUUGAGAUGAGGAGAGUCGGGAUACGUCCUCCGAUCGUCCAUCCUCCGCCGGAGCUCGCCAGAAAAGCCAAAAAA
rnacentral:lncRNA from 1 species